GCCAGGACGGAGGGAAGAUCCUGAAAACCUACCCUUCUCUUUCUCAGGGUACUUCAGCUCGCAGCAGACUGCAGCUCUGUGCCUGCCUUGCCUGCCCGGAUCAUUUUGCAACACCACCAGCUGCACCACGUGUCUGGCUUGCCCUGGUGGGAAGGAGGCUCUUCGCGAGGCAUCCGAGGAGUGCACACCUUGCCUCCCAGGUAUGUUCAAAGGUCCCAACGACAACAGAUGCAAGCUGUGCAAGGCAGGAGAAUACCAAUUGCAGCAGGGCAAGGAGAGCUGUGACCUGUGCCCAGAAAAUCACUACUGUCCCAGCCCAGAUGUGAACCCAGUCAAGUGCCCUGCUGAUGCCUUCUGCCCUGCUGGCAGCACCGAGCCUGAGUAUUGCAUGGAGGUGUUUCUUUACAAGUCAGGAGACUCUUGUCACCUGGCCCCUCUGAYGAUCAUCCUCCUGGCCGCUUUCGCAGCAGGUGGGAUCCUUGUCCUCUUUCUGAUAAUUCUGAAGAGAAGGCAAGAAUAUAGGAAGAAAUCUUUGAAGUCUCUGCUGUUACCAAAAGGAUCAGGACAACACACAACGUAUGGUGUGAUGGAGCACACAGAACCAGUGUACGCUGGUUGGUAGCAAGCUGUGAAAUGUUAUCAACAAGCUUUCUGUUCGUUUUUCUGUAUUGGCAAUAUGGAUGUGUGUAUAUGGGCAAAAUGUUAACCACAAUCAACCUAUUUCAACCUCUGUAGCUAAAAUAUUUAAUUAUACUAACCACACAUGCACAGAAAUGCAAAUAAAUCAUUUCACAAUCAGUUGUGACUACUUGUG
rnacentral:lncRNA from 1 species